UUUUGUUCGCGGGAGCUUCCUUUAGUUCAACUCAGGUGGAGCUGGAGAUGGUCCUGCUGCCGACUCAUGCAUCCGCGUACCUUGGAAAGUUACAAUGCCAGUUUCAGAAAGAGAGCUUCUUUUGUCCAGUGGUAGACGCUUGCAUGAUGCGGGAGCUGGUUCUCUCUCGAGCUUUGAUCGACCUGCCUUGGACUGAAGGGAGCUCCCUUGUUCCCACAA
rfam:Selaginella moellendorffii unplaced genomic scaffold SELMOscaffold_11, whole genome shotgun sequence.